UGGGGAAUUUUGCACAAUGGGGGAAACCCUGAUGCAGCGACGCCGCGUGAUUUAGAAGGCCUUCGGGUUGUAAAAAUCUUUUGUAUGGGAAGAAAAUGACAGUACCAUACGAAUAAGGACCGGCUAAUUACGUGCCAGCAGCCGCGGUAAUACGUAAGGUCCGAGCGUUGUCCGGAAUCAUUGGGCGUAAAGGGUACGUAGGCGGAUAAGCAAGUUAGAAGUGAAAUCCUAUAGCUCAACUAUAGUAAGCUUUUAAAACUGCUCAUCUUGAGGUAUGGAAGGGAAAGUGGAAUUCCUAGUGUAGCGAUGAAAUGCGCAGAUAUUAGGAGGAAUACCGGUGGCGAAGGCGACUUUCUGGCCAUAAACUGACGCUGAGGUACGAAAGCGUGGGUAGCAAACAGG
rnacentral:rRNA from 1 species